CUGAGGGAGAGGGCUAGAGAAAUUUAGGCAGACUCCACGCUGAGUGCAGAGCCCAGCGUAGGGCUUGAUCUCAUGACCCUUAGACCAUGACCUGAGCUGGAACCAAGAGUCAGAUGCUCAGCCAACUGAGCCCCCCCAGGCGCCCCUCACAUCACCUUUGCACUGAAUGGACAUGCUGCCUCUGUUAUAACACCCACAGCCGGAGCUCGUCCUUCUUCUGACCUGUUCGUCUGUCCUGAGGCUCAUCACUUUCUAUCGAAUCUGAGGGCGACGUCCACUGCAGUCCAUCAUGGGCUGUUUGGAAGCAGUACCUUCCGUCCUUGUGUCUUGACUGGCCUCACAAAGGCAGGAAGCUCCACAGGGCCCCGGAGAAGCUUUUCCCCAAGAAAGUGCUCCCAGAGCACAAACCACAGGGAAGGAACUGCUGUGUGUGUUGGGGGAACAUCUGUGGAGCCCUGGGUCCCCUGGGCCACCAUGAUUCCCUGCACCGAAGCUGCUCGAGCCAGCCGCCCGCACCCCUGCACACCCGAGAGCAGUGGAGUGCGUGUCCAGGUUGUGGUCCAAGCCCUUCCCAGGGGCACAGCGGCGCCCCGAGGCUCGUCCUGUUUCUCUGGGAGCUGUUCUCACUGGCUCGUUUUGUGCAGAGUCGGGGAAAUGCAGGUGCCGAGGACCUGAGCUCGGAGACGUGUUGAGCUCCUUCAGUGGGGGUACCGAGGGGCUCGUGAAACCACCAGCUGCUUCUUUAUUUUGGCCUAAAACUGUGUGCGAGCCCAGAGGCUUUCCAGCAAAGCAGGAGUUGUCUUAUACAUCGAAUAACAGACUCGGACCCAGGGGUCCCCGCAAGCCCGGCUUAGGGCGCAGCCUCGCUGUGGACUUGUUCGCUGAAUGUCUGACCGCCCUGCACAGAGCAGAGGCAGCACACAGAGCCUUCUGCGUUCUUGGCCCUGCCCCUGGGCAGCCGACGUGCCACUUAUGGGACAAUGUGCAUGCCCGGGCCACCAUAUAAAGUGGCACCAGGGGCUUAGAAGUCCUCAGGUUUCUUAGGGUUGUUGUAAAUGACGAUCAUCUGCUUCCUUCUUCUCCAAGAAUAUGAAAAGAUUGUUUUAAAUCGACAAGGGACCGAGUCCGCCGUCUUCGUCAUGAACCAGCCACAGCAUUAUUGGGUUACGGCCUCAGCUCACGUUCGAGCUGGGGAAGUGAGGCCCUCGGUGCUGCAAAGGAGCCCCCGUCCGGGAGUGCGGGGUAGAGAGGAAGUGACUGAAAAUCCGGGGCGUCCUGAGAAGAGGCAUCGUGGGUCAGCAGCACCUGCAGGCAUUAGCCGCUGUUCAGCCGGCUUUUCUGUGCGAGGCUUCGAAUCUAGGCAUUGAGAGACGUGGGCUGAGCGUUCACUCUGCCCGGUCAGCGGCCGCACUUUCAGCGGGACGGGGGAGCGAACACCCAGCCACGGGGUCUCCACGCAGCACGCGGGAGCACAGAGAGGAGGAGGUGGUCCGGACUAUCCCUGGCAGGCGCGUUCCGGUUGGAAGGAGGACCUGCCGGCAAGUGUCCGCAGGACAGCGGGAGGCGGCUCAGUCGGAGAGAGGAGGGAGCCGGGUGUGGAGUCCGUUUCGGCCCCUGUUGAGUGACAUCUCCCGGGCGUGGAGUCAAGGGUGGGGCGCACCCUCUCUCCUGCAUUGUUAGUCAGCGGCACGGUGAGCACCGCCGAAGAGAGGACGGGAGUGACCAAGGAGAUGAGGCCCCACUGGGGCGUCACCACGGCGCCGGUGGCCCUCCGGCCAGGCCCGCAGAGAAGGACGCCUGCCCGGAGCGCAGGGCACGUCCCGUCCGGCUCACAGGGAGCCCGGGGCAGACAGAGGCCCGCCCGCCCUCGGGGCCAGCUCCGUGCCGGCCUUCUCCGGUGGCGCUGCGGCUGUCCUCGGGGUCCCCCGUGAGGAUGGGCCCCUGCUGGGGUCCCCCUUUAGAAGGACGGCCCCGAAGGGCGCUGACAGCGCGUGCCCACGACCGAUGGAAGAAGCGCUGGAAGAAACAACUCAAGUCGGGACGAUUCUUCCUUCCUGACACCGGGAAGCAGCAGCAGGAAACCAACCGCGUCAUCAGAUUUCAUCACAAUCUCUCAUUCCGCGUGAGAGAGCGUGACCCGGAGGGGCGCCUGGGCUUCCUGGGCUUCUGCCCAGUGUGGGGGGGCGUCUGCCGGACGGGACGGCAGCUGACUCUGUGUCCUCCUGACUCCUGCUUCCGUGGCCCUCCCCCACGCCCGGCCCGCCCGUGUCCCUGCCACGGGGCUCCUUGAGCGCAGCCCGGCCCACGAAGGGGCGAGGGAGCAGCUGCCUCACACCGUGCAGCAUGGGCCGGGCUGCGGGCUCAGGGGUCCGCAUGGGGCACUGGCUCCUGCGCCCCGAGAGGCCGUGUUCCUGCCCAGCUUUGCUCGGGCAGACUCAUCCUGUGGGAGGGCAGCAGCCCCGGGGGUGUGUGUGGGGGUGUGGGGCGUGUGGGGCCAUGGGGCAAAUCCCCUGAGGACGAGUCUCGGUGCACAUGCUGUCCUCUGGGCGGACGACAAAGGUCGAAGUUGAGGGUCUCCCGUAGGUCUUCCGACGACUAGAGCGACAGCACGUUUCCACCUGGGCGUGGCCGCCGGAAGUUUCUACCGUGGUCACAUGUCACGAAACAGCGUUUUUCUUGGGUUGUUCCUCAUCGUCUCUAUGAGGCUAGAAGCCGUUCAGAGCUCAGAGGCCUGCAGAGCAGCUGGUAAGGUACGGGGGCCCACGGGCCACGGUCUGCUGGCCGUGGCCAGAUAGGCAGGUGCAGGGGAGUGUGUGCAGGGCGAGCGUGCAUGGGGCUGGGGGCUUCGGGCCCCUGCAGGCUGCCGCGGACUUCCACGCGGAGCUCGGUGGCGCGCUCAGCCAGUGGCUGCCCACGGUCCAGCGCGGCCUUCCGUACUCCUUGUCUGUAAAUAAAUCAUCUUUAUAAGCAAA